GACGAACGCUGGCGGCGUGCUUAACACAUGCAAGUCGAACGGUGAUGCUCCAGCUUGCUGGCGUGGAUCAGUGGCGAACGGGUGAGUAACACGUGAGCAACCUGCCCCAGACUCUGGAAUAAGCGCUGGAAACGGCGUCUAAUACUGGAUACGAAACUGGCCCGCAUGGGCAUGGUUUGGAAAGUUUUUCGGUUUGGGAUGGGCUCGCGGCCUAUCAGCUUGUUGGUGAGGUAAUGGCUCACCAAGGCGACGACGGGUAGCCGGCCUGAGAGGGCGACCGGCCACACUGGGACUGAGACACGGCCCAGACUCCUACGGGAGGCAGCAGUGGGGAAUAUUGCACAAUGGGCGAAAGCCUGAUGCAGCGACGCCGCGUGAGGGAUAACGGCCUUCGGGUUGUAAACCUCUUUCAGCAGGGAAGAAGCGAAAGUGACGGUACCUGCAGAAGAAGCACCGGCUAACUACGUG
rnacentral:rRNA from 1 species